rnacentral:rRNA from 1 species
GAUGAACGCUGGCGGCGUGCCUAAUACAUGCAAGUCGAGCGAACGGACGAGAAGCUUGCUUCUCUGAUGUUAGCGGCGGACGGGUGAGUAACACGUGGAUAACCUACCUAUAAGACUGGGAUAACUUCGGGAAACCGGAGCUAAUACCGGAUAAUAUUUUGAACCGCAUGGUUCAAAAGUGAAAGACGGUCUUGCUGUCACUUAUAGAUGGAUCCGCGCUGCAUUAGCUAGUUGGUAAGGUAACGGCUUACCAAGGCAACGAUGCAUAGCCGACCUGAGAGGGUGAUCGGCCACACUGGAACUGAGACACGGUCCAGACUCCUACGGGAGGCAGCAGUAGGGAAUCUUCCGCAAUGGGCGAAAGCCUGACGGAGCAACGCCGCGUGAGUGAUGAAGGUCUUCGGAUCGUAAAACUCUGUUAUUAGGAAAGAACAUAUGUGUAAGUAACUGUGCACAUCUUGACGGUACCUAAUCAGAAAGCCACGGCUAACUAUGUG